UACCAGCACCCCGAGGUGGUCGGGAACGAUUUAUUGGGCCUAAAGCAUCCGUAGCCGGCCUUACAAGUCCUCCGUUAAAUCCAGCUGCUUAACAGAUGGCUGCGGAGGAUACUAUAAGACUAGGAGGCAGGAGAGGCAAGCGGUACUCAGUGGGUAGGGGUAAAAUCCGUUGAUCCAUUGAAGACUACCAGUGGCGAAGGCGGCUUGCCAGAAUGCGCUCGACGGUGAAGGGAUGAAAGCUGGGGGAGCAAACCGG
rnacentral:rRNA from 1 species